rnacentral:lncRNA from 1 species
GCUCAUACAUAAAUUCAAAAAAAUUGGUGCACGAUAGCUUGAAAAGAGCUUUUGGGGCAUUGGCUUGAGGAGUAGCAGUUGGAAGAAGUAGAGACCUGAUUGAAAGAGAGAAAGGGUGGAGGCAUGGAGUUUUGAUGGAGGAGAGAAAGAGGUGGAGAGAGGGGGAUGGAAGGGAGAGGGAUGAUCCCUACAAGGGGACAUCUCCCUUUAGAAGAGAUGGAGGCAUGUAUUUAUAGAGAGGAGGGCAUGUGAGAUGAGAGUUUGAGGCAUGGGAGGAGUUAGCAUGUAAGAAAGAAGGAAAUAAAGAGAAACGGCGCAUGGAAAUUGAGUUUGUGCGUGAGAGGAGGAGUUAGGCGCAUGGAAAUG